rnacentral:rRNA from 1 species
UCAAGCUAGAAAGAGCGCAAGGGGAAUGCCUUGGCAUCAGGAGCCGAUGAAGGACGCGACAAGCUGCGAUAAGCUUCGGGUAGCUGCAAAUAAGCAAUGAUCCGGAGAUUUCCGAAUGGGGCAACCCGGCACGGCAAUACCGUGUCAGCGUGCACUGAAUCAAAUAGGUGUACGUGGGGAACCGCCUGAACUGAAACAUCUAAGUAGGGCGAGGAAAAGACAUCAACCGAGAUUCCGCAAGUAGUGGCGAGCGAACGCGGAGAAGGCCAAACCAGAGGUCAUUGAUCUCUGGGGUAAGGACUUGCAUCAUGAUCAGAGGUAUCUAGUCGAAUGGCGUGGGAAAGCCAACCACAGAGGGUGAGAGUCCCGUAGACGAAAGAGAAGACUGACAGCGAGUAUCCAGAGUACCGCCGGACACGUGAAACCCGGUGGGAACAUGGGAGGACCACCUUCCAAGCCUAAAUACUACCUGAUGACCGAUAGAGAAGCAGUACCGUGAGGGAAAGGUGAAAAGAACCCCGGGAGGGGAGUGAAAUAGUACCUGAAACCGUAUGUCUACAAGCAGUCGAAGCGAAAGCGACGGCGUGCCUAUUGAAGAAUGAACCAACGAGUUAUCUGCACUAGCGAGGUUAAGUGGAAGACACGGAGCCGCAGCGAAAGCGAGUCUUAAGAGGGCGCUAGUUAGUGUAGGUAGACCCGAAACCGCAGUGAUCUACCCAUGUCCAGGUUGAAGCGCAGGUAAAAUUGCGUGGAGGACCGAACCGGUGAGCGUUGAAAAGCUUUCGGAUGAGAUGUGGGUAGGGGUGAAAUUCCAAUCGAACGCGGAGAUAGCUGGUUCUCCCCGAAAUAGCUUUAGGGCUAGCCUGAGGUAGUAAGUAUAGGCGGUAGAGCACUGAUCGGGCUAGGGGCCGUAAAGGUUACCGAACCCUGUCAAACUCCGAAUGGAUAUACUGUAGAGCCUUGGAGUCAGACUACGAGUGAUAAGAUCCGUGGUCAAAAGGGAAACAGCCCAGACCACCAGCUAAGGUCCCCAAUGUCGUACUAAGUGGAAAAGGAUGUGGGGUUUCAUAAACAACCAGGAUGUUGGCUCAGAAGCAGCCACCAUUUAAAGAGUGCGUAAUAGCUCACUGGUCGAGAGACCCUGCGCCGAAGAUUCCCGGGGCUAAAGUACGAAACCGAAGCUGUGGCUGUAUACGUAAAGUAUACGGGGUAGGGGAGCGUUCCCAUAGGGUAGAAGUCGAACUGGAAGGUUCGGUGGACUUGUGGGAAGUGAGAAUGUUGGUAUGAGUAGCGAAAAGAAAGGUGAGAAUCCUUUCCACCGAAAGCAUAAGGAUUCCUGAGCAACGAUCGUCGUCUCAGGGUAAGUCGGGACCUAAUCCGAGGCAGAGAGCGUAGGAGAUGGACAACUGGUUGAUAUUCCAGUACCGGUAGUAAUUGUUUGAGCAAUGGAGUGACACAGAAGGGCAGGCAAGCAUGCGAAUGGAAGAGCAUGUGUAAGCGUGUAGGGUGGUGCAUAGGCAAAUCCGUGCACUGAAAGCCUGAGGCGUGAUGCGGAGUGAGCAGAGAUGCGAGCGAAGUUGUUGACCCCACACUGUCGAGAAAAGCUUCUAGUGAGAGAGCUACCGCCCGUACCGUAAACCGACACAGGUAUGCGGGGAGAGAAUCCUAAGGUGCGCGGGAGAACCCUCGUUAAGGAACUCGGCAAAAUGUACCCGUAACUUCGGGAUAAGGGUAGCCACUGUUGUGAAGUCCCAUGCGGAUGGAGCAUAGAGUGGUCGCAGAGAAGAGGCCCAAGCGACUGUUUACCAUAAACACAGGUGCCUGCUAAAGCGAAAGCUGACGUAUAGGUGCUGACACCUGCCCAGUGCCGGAAGGUUAAGGAAGGAUGUUCGGAGUAAUCCAAAGCAUUCGACUGAAGCCCCGGUGAACGGCGGCCGUAACUAUAACGGUCCUAAGGUAGCGAAAUUCCUUGUCGGGUAAG